rnacentral:rRNA from 1 species
CCUACGGGUGGCAGCAGUGAGGAAUAUUGGUCAAUGGGCUUACGCCUGAACCAGCCAAGUCGCGUGAGGGAAGACUGCCCUAUGGGUUGUAAACCUCUUUUGUCAGGGAGCAACGCCGGCUACGUGUAGCCGCACUGAGAGUACCUGGAGAAAAAGCAUCGGCUAACUCCGUGCCAGCAGCCGCGGUAAUACGGAGGAUGCGAGCGUUAUCCGGAUUUAUUGGGUUUAAAGGGUGCGUAGGCGGAAUGCCAAGUCAGCGGUAAAAUCGCGGGGCUCAACCUCGCUCCGCCGUUGAAACUGGCGUUCUUGAGUGGGCGAGAAGUAUGUGGAAUGCGUGGUGUAGCGGUGAAAUGCAUAGAUAUCACGCAGAACUCCGAUUGCGAAGGCAGCAUACCGGCGUCCAACUGACGCUGAAGCACGAAAGCGUGGGGAUCGAACAGGAUUAGAUACCCCAGUAGUC